CCUAUCAUGACCAUAGAGACCCUUGGUGACUAAUUUUUGUUGUAUAUUGCCCUGGGAAGGGGAUACGCUAUCUAAUAGAAAUUUCUGAGAGACCAGGAAAUAUACAAUAAGUGAUACGUGAGUGUACUGGUUAAAUUGCAAACAUAUUGGCUCAGAACCUUUAAUUGAGCCGGAAAAGAGGCUGCUGUAUGUUUGCUCCUCUAUAAUUUUGCGGGGGCGGUCACCCCCAUGCGGAAAGCCACUGCCAUCACAGGGUGGUUAGUUGUGCAGGCCCUUAGCCGCGAGGUGCAAGCAUGUCCGUGGAAAGGCUAG